CCCACUCCCCCUCCCCUUCCCAACCACACACAGAAAUUACCAUCAGUGGCAGGAAAACUACCAAUAGUUAAAGUUUAAAAAUAGCUGUUAUUCGUUGGGUAAAUUAUCAUCUAACCUUCAAGUUUACGGGACAUAAAAUAAUUUGCUUGUAUUUAGCGCAGAUAAUUUUUCAUAAAAUGUACCUAUCUAAUUGAAUUCUGUGUGAGGUUAGCGUUAACUCUGAGCUCACUACCUUUAAUAAUAUUUACAUAUGAAUUUUGCAUCGUUCAUUUAAGUUUAGCGCAGUGUUGCUAUUAUUUUAAUAUAAUUUGCUAACCAUUAAAAUGCUAAUAAUAAGCUUAAAUACAUAUAUAAAUGUUAUUUCAAGUUUUAUAAUACAAAUGUACUAUAUCAAUGCAAGUAUUAUGUAACGCCAAUAGAGUAAGCAUUACAAAAAACGGACGGAAAUGUAUGGUAUAAUAAAUGUUUGAAUAAUUCAUAUGUAAGCGGAAUAAACUAUUUAUCUUUUCAGUUAGAAUACAGUAAUAGUUUGUGCGCCUGACAAAGUCAGUCAAAUGAAUGAUUAGCAAAUGAAUAUAUUGUUUAAUAAGAGGAGAGCAUAGGCAUCGAGUAUGUCGAAUGUUUUACCAAAGUCCUGAGGAUAGUGGACUCAGAGUUGUUACUGUAUUUUUAUAAAUAGCGUACAUCUAUAUUUUUCAAGCAAUUAUCAAUAUGGAUUAGUUUGAAGAAAUUCUUAAUUUGAUAUCAUAUAAUUACAGGAUAACGAAGACAUUGUAUAUUUGGAUUAUUUUUAACGCUUCUUAUAAAAAUACUAAGCAACAGCUUACAGUGUUGCCAAUAUAACGCCGUUCGGCGCGAAAUGGAUUUAAUUUGGCGCGAAAACGGCAGUUGUUAUUUGGCAGUGACAUAAGCUGUUGCACUCUCCUACGUCACCCACCGGGGCAGGAACCCGCCAGCGCGCACGCUUUAACAUCUAAGAACGCGAACAAGAGCGCCUCUGGCGAGAGGAACAUUCCGGCCGCCGCCGCCGCCGCCGCCUGGAACAGACCACAUUCGGCUCCACUUACCUUCUCUCUGCGCUGGUGCUAUGGUGGACAUCGGAGGUGGAAUAGGCUGCGGAAACUGCCCAUAAACCGCUGGAUAAGAGUACUACAGACGAGAAAAGCAAGCGUUUUGUGCGUGCAUUACUCACCGACGCCGG